UACGUAGGGUGCGAGCGUUGCCCGGAUUUAUUGGGCGUAAAGGGCACGUAGGCGGCCACGCACGUCCGUUGUGAAAUCGCCCGGCUCAACUGGGCGGGGUCAGCGGAUACGGUGUGGCUCGAGCAAGCUAGGGGGCAAUGGAAUUCCCGGUGUAGUGGUGGAAUGCGUAGAUAUCGGGAGGAACACCAGUGGCGAAGGCGGUUGCCUGGAGCUUUGCUGACGCUGAGGCGCGAAAGCGUGGGGAGCGAUCCGG
rnacentral:rRNA from 1 species